GUGGGGAAUCUUGCGCAAUGGGCGAAAGCCUGACGCAGCCAUGCCGCGUGAAUGAUGAAGGUCUUAGGAUUGUAAAAUUCUUUCACCGGGGACGAUAAUGACGGUACCCGGAGAAGAAGCUCCGGCUAACUUCGUGCCAGCAGCCGCGGUAAUACGAAGGGGGCUAGCGUUGCUCGGAAUUACUGGGCGUAAAGGGCGCGUAGGCGGACAGCUUAGUCAGAGGUGAAAGCCCAGGGCUCAACCUUGGAAUUGCCUUUGAUACUGGCUGUCUUGAGUACGGGAGAGGUGAGUGGAACUCCGAGUGUAGAGGUGAAAUUCGUAGAUAUUCGGAGGAACACCAGUGGCGAAGGCGGCUCACUGGACCAGAAUUGACGCUGAGGUGCGAAAGCGUGGGGAGCAAACAGGAUUAGAAACCCGGGUAGUCC
rnacentral:rRNA from 1 species